GGGAGGGGGAUAUGGGGGGAUGGAGGGAGAGAUGGGGAGAUGGAGGGGGAUGUGGGGGAGAAUGGAAGGGAAUGGGGGAAGAUGGAGGGAGAGAUGGGGGAGAUGGAGGGGGAUGGAUGGAUGGAUGGAUGAGGAUGGAUGGAGGGAUGGAUGGAAGGAAGAGGUUGGAUGGAGGGAUGGAGGGAUGGAGGGAUGGAGGGAUGAGGAUGAAGAGGUUGGAUGGAGGGAUGGGGAUGGAUGGAGGGAUGGAAGGAUGAGGAUGAAGAGGUUGGAUGGAGGGAUGGAUGGAGGGAUGAGGAUGAAGAGGUUGGAUGGAGGGAUGGAUGGAGGGAUGGAGGGAUGAGGAUGAAGAGGUUGGAUGGAUGGAUGGAUAGAUGGACGGAUGGAUGGAGGGAUGAGGAUGAAGAGGUUGGAUGGAGGGAUGGGGAUGGAUGGAGGGAUGGAAGGAUGAGGAUGAAGAGGUUGGAUGGAGGGAUGGAGGGAUGGAUGGAUGAGGAUGAAGAUGUUGGAUGGAGGGAUAGAUGGAGGGAUAAGGAUGGAAGAGGUUGGAUGGAUGGAUGGAUGGAGGGAUGGAGGGAUGAGGAUGAAGAGGUUGGAUGGAGGGAUGGAGGGAGGGAGGGAUGGAGGGAUGGAGGGAUGAGGAUGAAGAGGUUGGAUGGAUGGAGGGAUGGGGAUGGAUGGAGGGAUGGAAGGAUGGGGAUGAAGAGGUUGGAUGGAGGGAUGGGGAUGGAGAGGUUGGAUGGAGGGAUGGGGAUGGAGAGGUUGGAUGGAGGGAUGGGGAUGGAGGGAUGAGGAUGAAGAGGUUGGAUGGAGGGAUGGAUGGAGGGAUGGAGGGAUGAGGAUGAAGAGGUUCGAUGGAGGGAUGGGGAUGGAUGGAUGAGGAUGGAAGAGGUUGGAUGGAGGGAUGGAUGGAGGGAUGGAGGGAUGGAUGGAGGGAUGAGGAUGAAGAGGUUGGAUGGAGGGAUGGGGAUGGAGGGAUGAGGAUGAAGAGGUUGGAUGGAGGGAUGGGGAUGGAGAGGUUGGAUGGAGGGAUGGGGAUGGAGGGAUGAGGAUGGAGAGGUUGGAUGGAGGGAUGGAGGGAUGGAGGGAUAAGGAUGGAAGAGGUUGGAUAGAUGGAUGGAGGGAUGAGGAUGAAGAGAUUGGAUGGAGGGAUGGAUAGAGGGAUGGAGGGAUGAGGAUGAAGAGGUUGGAUGGAUGGAUAGAUGGACAGAUGGAUGGAGGGAUGAGGAUGAAGAGGUUGGAUGGAGGGAUGGGGUUGGAUGGAUGAGGAUGAAGAUGUUGGAUGGAGGGAUGGGGAUGAAGAGGUUGGAUGGAUGGAUGGAUGGUGGACAAGUGGCGGGCGAUGAGGAUCAUGGACGACCACCCAGCCCCUCCCUGGUGGCCCCCAACCCCCCCCAUCCAACCCCCUAAGGUCGACAGCUCCGCGGUGCCGCUGCCCUUCUGCCUGCCUCGCCGGGC
ensembl:lncRNA